UUGCAUCGAUGAAGAACGCAGCGAAAUGCGAUAACUAAUGUGAAUUGCAGAAUUCAGUGAAUCAUCGAGUCUUUGAACGCACAUUGCGCCCCCUGGUAUUCCGGGGGGCAUGCCUGUCCGAGCGUCAUUGCUGCCCUCAAGCCCGGCUUGUGUGUUGGGUCGCCGUCCCCCUCUCCGGGGGGACGGGCCCGAAAGGCAGCGGCGGCACCGCGUCCGAUCCUCGAGCGUAUGGGGCUUUGUCACAUGCUCUGUAGGAUUGGCCGGCGCCUGCCGACGUUUUCCAACCAUUCUUUCCAGGUUGACCUCGGAUCAGGUAGGGAUACCCGCUGAACUUAAGCAUAUCAAUAAGCGGAGGA
rnacentral:rRNA from 1 species